UAGUGAAGUGUACUUCUACUUCUCACUUGCAUACCAUACCAGUUAUCGUCUUAGUAAUAGCAUAUCUUUUGAUCGCGAACUCACUUAAGGACUAAACGAUAAAUCUUCCUUUAUCGAUUUAAAUUAGUCCUAAGGACUUUCACCAUAAUAUAAGAGUUCGAUAUAGAAGAUGCAUAAGUUUAUAAUGAAAAUUAUCAAAUAAUAUUUUAUUAAUGAUUAAUUUAUAUACAUUUACAUCAAUUAGCA
rnacentral:lncRNA from 1 species